AGAGUUUGAUCCUGGCUCAGAUUGAACGCUGGCGGCAUGCCUUACGCAUGCAAGUCGAACGGCAGCACGGGAGCAAUCCUGGUGGCGAGUGGCGAACGGGUGAGUAAUGUAUCGGAACGUACCUUUCAGUGGGGGAUAACGUAGCGAAAGCUACGCUAAUACCGCAUAUUCUGUGAGCAGGAAAGCAGGGGAUCGCAAGACCUUGCGCUGAUUGAGCGGCCGAUAUCAGAUUAGCUAGUUGGUGAGGUAAAGGCUCACCAAGGCGACGAUCUGUAGCGGGUCUGAGAGGAUGAUCCGCCACACUGGAACUGAGACACGGUCCAGACUCCUACGGGAGGCAGCAGUGGGGAAUUUUGGACAAUGGGGGCAACCCUGAUCCAGCCAUGCCGCGUGAGUGAAGAAGGCCUUCGGGUUGUAAAGCUCUUUCAGCCGGGAAGAAAACGCAUGGGUUAAUACCCUGUGUGGAUGACGGUACCGGAAUAAGAAGCACCGGCUAACUACGUGCCAGCAGCCGCGGUAA
rnacentral:rRNA from 1 species